rnacentral:rRNA from 1 species
AUUGAACGCUGGCGGCAGGCUUAACACAUGCAAGUCGAGCGAGCGGCGGACGGGUGAGUAAUGUCUGGGAAACUGCCUGAUGGAGGGGGAUAACUACUGGAAACGGUAGCUAAUACCGCAUACCAUCAGAUGUGCCCAGAUGGGAUUAGCUAGUAGGGGGGGUAAUGGCUCACCUAGGCGACGAUCCCUAGCUGGGCUGAGAGGAUGACCAGCCACACGGUAACUGAGACACGGUCCCGCCUCCGACGGGCGUCAGCAGUGGGGAAUAGUGCACAAUGGGAGCAAGCCUGAUGCAGCCAUGCCGCGUGUGUGAAGAAGGCCUUGGGGUUGUAAAGCACUUGCAGCGAGGAGGCGUUACUCGCAGAAGAAGCACCGGCUAACUCCGUGACAGCAGCCGCGGUAAGUC